rnacentral:misc_RNA from 1 species
GAUGAAGAACGUAGCGAAAUGCGAUAAGUAAUGUGAAUUGCAGAAUUUAGUGAAUCAUCGAAUCUUUGAACGGAUAUUGCGCCCGCCAGCACUCUGGCGGGCAUGCCUGUUCGAGCGUCAUUUCAACCCUCAGGCCUCGCGUCUGGCGUUGGGGCGCUGCGGCCCUCCCGCAGGCCCCCAAAUUUAGCGGCGGAUUCCCCGCGGCCCUGAGCGCAGUAGAGAGUAAAAACUUUAACGCUCCGGCGGCCGUGGCGCGGUUCUGCCUCUUUCCCAAUAGCGCCAAUAGCGCCACCCCCAAAAAAGUUGACCUCGGAUCAGGUAGGACUACCCGCUGAACUUAAGCAUAUCAAUAAGCGGAGGA